rnacentral:rRNA from 1 species
AUUGAACGCUGGCGGAAUGCUUUACACAUGCAAGUCGAACGGCAGCACGGGGCAACCUGGUGGCGAGUGGCGAACGGGUGAGUAAUACAUCGGAACGUGCCCAAUCGUGGGGGAUAACGUAGCGAAAGUUACGCUAAUACCGCAUACGAUCUACGGAUGAAAGCGGGGGAUCGCAAGACCUCGCGCGAAUGGAGCGGCCGAUGUCAGAUUAGGUAGUUGGUGGGGUAAAAGGCUCACCAAGCCAACGAUCUGUAGCUGGUCUGAGAGGACGACCAGCCACACUGGAACUGAGACACGGUCCAGACUCCUACGGGAGGCAGCAGUGGGGAAUUUUGGACAAUGGGCGCAAGCCUGAUCCAGCCAUUCCGCGUGCAGGAUGAAGGCCUCGGUGUAACUAG